UAUUUAAAGAUGUUUACUUGGAUUAACUAAAAAAUUCUCUAGAACUAAAUUAUGAUAAUUUAAAACCCACUGGAGAAUUGAAGAAGGCCUAUGUGGGGUGAGGGGUCAUCUGAUUAUAGUAAUGGCUGCAAUUGUUCUUGCCUCCUUGUCCAUAUCCUUUGGAUUGCAACUUUCCAGCUCUUGCAUUGUGACGUGGAGUCUAUUCUUUACCAUGGCUCAACUUUACCACGGCCAACAGAAUGAAGCAAAAGUCACAGUUUUCAAGUUCUGAACUUAGGUCUCAAGAGGCUUUGCAUGCUUCUGUUCACUCUUUUGCAAUACCUCGGCUAGCCUGCUGGAGGAGGAGAGAACACAAAAAGGACAAAAGCCAAGAGAGCAUCCUAGGCUGCAUACAGCCAGCUGGCCCCACACAGAUGAGAAGAGCCUAGCCCAGUGCAGCAAAUUGACUGCAGAUGCACAUAUGAACCCAACAGAGAUCCAAAGAACUCCCCCAUAGCCUGUAGACUAGAGGGUAAUAACAAAUGCUUAUUGUUACUCAGUUUAUGUCAUUGAAUUUUGGGGUGAUUUAUUAUGCAGCAAGAGCUAACGAAAACACUAUACUUGCUACAGAGAUUUACUAGUGAAAGCUUUUAAGUCAUUAGCAAGUCCAGCCCCUGCAGAAAAAUAUGAUCCAGCUUUUAUAGUUAAGAAUUAGUUUUGCAUAAUUGAUAAGUAUAUUUAAACACAUAUAUCAUCAUUUAUUUUAUGUUCAUUUAUUUUUAUAAUCAAUUUUGGAAUUUUUAUGGUGUAAUAUAAAACUUAUUUCCAGAAAUAAAACUUAUGAUUUACUGUAUACAAGAACUAGAAGGAAAAAGUUGGUAAAUUUUGUGGUAUCGUUUUAGAAUACAAGACAUGGACCCAAUCAAAUACAAGCAGAGAAAUGCAGGGAGAGAGCAAACUGAUAUGAAAAAGGAAUUAAGUGAGACAAGGAUUGACUACAAUAAAACUAAAAUUGUAACAGCAUUGCAACAGAAAAAAAAUGAAUAUAGAAUUUGAAUAGACAAUUCAUGGAGCAAAGAAUAUAGUAAGUAAAAGAGGCUAAUAAACAAAUGAAAAAAUAGUCAAGCUCAGUAGUAAUAAAGAAAUUCUUAUUUCAAAGAAAUAAGAAUGUUAUAUCAUUUUUCAAAUAGCAAUUUGGCAAAGAAAAAUAAAUUAUGCAAUUUGAUGCCGGCAAACAUGUAAUGCAGCAUCCAUCGCUGCUGGAAGAGCAAAUCAGUUUAGUUGUUCCUGAAAACAGUUUGAUGGGUUGUAGUAAGAGCCCUAAAAAAAAGUUAUAAACUUACACCCAUCAUUUCACUUCUAGAAAUCAAUCAGGAGAAAGUGAUCAGAAAUUCAACCGAAGGUUAUACAUAAGAUUAUAACUAUGUCACCAAAAAGCAACUUUAAUAUCUGAUAACAGAAGAAUGGUUCAAUAAAUUAAGGCACAUUGAUGUAAUAAAAUAAUAUGUUGCCAACAAAUAAUGGUGUCCAUGAAAAAUAUUUUAUGAUAUGGAAACAUGCCAUGAUAAAAAAAACUAAGUGAAAAAGCAUAAUGCAAAAUUAUAUGUUUGUUUUGCUCAAAAUAUAUAUGCAGAAAAAAGCAUAAGUAAAUAUAUUUAAAAUGUUACUUGUUAUUUCUAAAUGGUUGGAGUGAAAGACUUAGAGGUAUGUUUAAUAAUCUUCAUUUUUUUUAGAUUUGUCAGUAUUUUCCAAAGGAGAAAGAAGCAAAAUAAUGACAGAAAAGAGUCAAACCAAAAUAAUGAUGUAGAAAAACAACAUUAAAGAUUUUUAUUAAUUCCAAAGUAUAUUUACUGUGCGUUAUUUUUCAGCUAUUUCAUCCCCUGCAUCUUCCCUAAUAUUACAAUACAUCAUGAAUAUGUAAAAUAUUCAACACAAAGCAUAUACUAAAGACCUUGAGGAGCUACAAUGCCAUUUACAUUUGCUGUUGCCACACUCAUUUACGUCAUUGUACAAGACAGGGAGUUCUAUUCACCUCAGUGUCCCCAGCACCUAGCACAGACUAGGGAACAGAGUUUUGCAUAACACACAAUUAAUGAAUAAAUAAAGACACUAUCACCAAGUCUUCAAAAUCAAUUAUAACUAUUGAAUGCUUAAUAAAUAUGAGGCACUGUAUUAAAUCCUACAAGAACUUUGCAAAACACAGGGAAAAGACAUUUCUCUACUCCUUUGACCACACUAACAAACAACUAAAUUACAUGCACAGUAUAUCUAUGGCAGUUGCAAAUAUUUAUACUUUUGUUUUGCAUUAGUUGAUCCUCCUAUGUAACUAAACCAUAGCAUAAUACACUUUUUGAAACCAUAAUUAGUAUUGUGAAUUCAUGCAUUGUGCCCUAUGAAUAAUUAAAGCAUAUGAUUACUUUUGAGUACUAAAUGGCACUUCAGUUAGUAGCAUCCUUGAGUAUGUUAUUCUAACUCAAAAUUCAAGUAGGAUUAUCUAAGGCUGAUUCUUCUUAUGAUAGAUAAUGAUGACAUUCUCCAUCUUUCCACCUGAGCAAUUAAAAAGUUUAAUAGUCUUUGAUGUGGCUGGUUAUCUGAAUAAUUUUCUUAACAGGAACAAUUAAAAUCCACUUACUCGAUGGUUUGUGCAUUCUCCACUAUUGUUUCAAACUCUUUGUUUCUGUGGAAACCUGAUGAAAACUUAAAGAACUUUAAAUCUAUAAUGACUUUGCAAAGAGUAUUUGUUUUCCUUAAUUACCAAGAGUAUACAGCUUGAUUAUAUGUAGCCCAGUUUCUCUAACAAACUUAAAAAUAAAGAGCUUGCUUGCUGUCUUUUUUCUCCUAUAUGUGAAAUGGUCCAGUUGUCUGCUUUGGUAUCGACCCUGGUGCCAGAAGUGGGAAUUUUCUCAAUGCCACACCAAUGUGAAAUGCACGAGCAUUACCAUCAGACCACCUUCUGCCCUACAAUGAUCCACUUCAGUAUACCCAAAUGAGCUGUCAGCUGGAGUUUCUUUUUCCUCUGCCUCACUAAUGCUCUGCUCUGCUACCAUUAUUUCAGCUGAAGUAGGACGAUUAUGAUUUCAAGCUCUAUCUAGAUUAUACGGUCCUAAGGGUUACUCUUUAUCUGUAUAGACUCCUCCUUAUAAACCCUUUGUAGGAAUACGCUGAUAGCUGUUCAUUAAACAAACAUGCGUGGUAUCUUACUUUAUUUACAUGGCAAUGACAAUACUUCAUAUCUUAAAGAGAAGUACCUUUUAAUAGAAAAUGCUUGAAUGGAAUUAGGAUGAAUGUAUCCUUUUCAAAACAAACUGAAAAUAUCACACGAAUUGAUGUUAAGACUAUUUUUAUGUGCCAGAUUCCAAAAUAAUAAAUAUAAUAAUUAGAAAAACAAGGCUGGGUGUGGUGGCUCAUGCUUGUAAUCCCAGCACUUUGGGAGGCCGAGAUGGGUGGAUCACUUGAGGUCAGGAGUUGAAGACCAGCCUGGCCAACAUGGUGAAACCCCAUCUCUACUAAAAAUACAAAAAAAAUUUAGCUGGGCAGGGUGGUGCACGCCUGUAAUCCUAGCUACUCAGGAGGCUGAGGCAGGAGAAUCACUGGAACCUGGGAGGCGUAGGUUGCAGUGAGCUGAGAUGGGACCACUGCACUCCAGCCUGGGUGACAGAGCAAGACUCUGUCUGAAAAAAAAAAAAAGAAAAGAAAAGAAAAAAAGAAAGAAAAGCAGAGCACUGAAAUGUGUGUAUUUGCAGAGUAAAUAAUUUCCCAAGAUUCAUAUGGCACCUCAAUAUGAGAAAUCUCACGAAUAUGAAGUCCAAACACCCAGCUGGGAAAUAUCUCACCAUUCUAGAAAAUAUCACCAAUUCUUAACACAUUCUGCUUCUCAGGGUGUUCUUUGGAGUGCUGAGGGAAAGUUUUGCCAUUUGAUUUACACAGUCUCAAUGGCAGGAGGUUGGUUCUACCUAAAUCUGCCAGAUUUUUGCUAAAUUCUCAUCCCCUUUUAAUGGUUAAUACAGUAUUUUUUUGCGGGGUGGGGGGGGCAUAUUUUGCUUGUAGAAACAAUGACUUAACAAAAAAAUCAAUGUGACAAACUAGAGGAGGGUACACUCCUCUACUCUACUCGACCAGCUUUGUGUAUGUAAUAAAGAGAUCUCCAAAUUCUGGAGAUGUCUAAUUCUGGGGAUCCUGAAACUGACAAUUUUCUCAAGACACAAGCCACAUCAAGUCAGGUCUAUCGAAUCAGAUCUACCAGGUGAAAAGCACCGUGCUGGACUCACUGGGGCAGGGGAGCAGGGGGAGCGGGGAUGGAAACAAUUGGCAUAAAAACAGAAAACCAAAAUGAAAAUGUGACGCCAGGUGUGGUGACUCACACCUGUAAUCCCAGCAGUUUGGGAGGCCGAGACGGGCGGAUUGCUUGAGCUCGAGACUGGCCUGGCCAAUAUGACAAAACCCCAUCUCUACUAAAAUACAAAAAUUAGCAAGGCAUGGUGGCACAGGCCUGUAGCUACACAGGAGGCUGACGUACAAGAAUCGCUUGAACCUGAAGGGCGGAGGUUGCAGUGAGCUGAGAUCAUGCCACUGCACUCCAGCCUGAGUGACAGUGAGACUGUGUCUCAAAAACAGAAGAAAAAGAAGAUGAAGAAGUAGGAAAUCGUCCUAAUUAGCAUCAUCAUCAUUAAUGAGCAUCGCUAAAUGUAAGCAUCAAUACAACUCCAAGACAAUACAUAACAACUGCAAAAGCAUAUCCACGACAUGGUAAAAAUUAGUGGAAUGGGUUGUACUAACCACCUGGGACUGAAUGAACCAGACUAUACCUUGCUAAUUACCUGGUAUCUGUUGUUUGGUAGACAUCUAAAAUCUAGGAGAAGUCAAGUUGCUCCUUUUGGAAAUGGGAUAAACUGGGUUCGACCGUACAACAGAAUUAACAACAGCAAAUGAGCUAGUGUAGCUCAGAGCCCCCACUCAGAAAGACCCUCCAUAUUUCUAGAGUUAGAAAGUCUUGCCUAGCUUCUUUAUUCAGCUUAAGUUUUCAGCUUAACUGUAGUGUGAGGGGCAGUCAGAAGGCAGAGGGAGUCUGUGAAGAACAAGGCUGCUGCUUUGGUUUGUGAGGCUGGAGGAAAUGGGUCUUCACACACCUUGGCUCACCAUGUUCUGGAAGCUAUCUUCACCACCAGACGAUUUAGCCUGGCUCGACUCUCCUCCUAGUUCUCACAGUAUCUAAGGUUUCUGAAUUAAAGAAACCAGAGGUUUAAGCUUUGGAGUUUAUCAGAUGCUGUGGGAACACUUCGGAUCACUAGGUUUUGAUUCUCACGGCUCCCUUGCUAAGAUUUGUUUAGCUUCAGGCCAAUCCUAAGCAAACCCUGUUCUAGAAAAACAGGAACAGCACAAGUGAGCUGGAUAGUACAUUACAGUAAGCAUUUAGCCUAAUAAAAGAACCCAUACUUUCCAGAUCCAGGAACACAGAUAAUAUAACAUUUUUUAAAAACAUGCCGUUACAAAUGUAUGUCUCUCUCUGUGUGUGUGUGUGUGUGUAUAAUUAUUUGAUUGGUUAGUUUAAUAUUUUUGAGAAGCUUUUUGUUAAAAGGCAUUUACUUUAACAUGAUCCUGUACUGUUAAACAUGUACAAUUCACCCUUUAAAGUCAUAAAGAACAAAGAAAAAAUUUAUUGUAACUGCAUUAAUAGCUAGUCCUGUGAAAUUACUCUGAAUAUUAGCAAUCCAGUAGAUACAAAAAAAAAAUACUGGCAAGGGGAAGAAAAAUAGCCCAACUGUUGCUAGAAUUAUUUCACAAGCUCCUUUGUUAAAAUAAUGUUGUAAUAACUCCUUCUAAUUUCCCACUGGAAAAGGUAUUUUCUUAGCUAGUUCAAAACAGAAGGAAGUUUAAACAUUAUCAUGAAUGCCUCAGACAUAGUGCUGUGAUAUCUGAUUGUCCAGACUACAGAACAUAAUAAGUGAAUGUGGCCAAGGCUGAAAUAUGUUUCCACCACUUUUGUAUUCUCUUUCUGAAUAUAAUGAUUUUAAUAAGAAAGUAUAUAAUAAUGAUGAAGUAAUUAGUACCAGCAUUAUUCUACCAUAAUCAUUGAAAUCAGUACUUAAUCAUUAACAUAAUCAAGCCAUCCUGAUUGUACCCUCAGUAGAGGGCAGUAUUUGCUACAUCUCCUUGGGAGGAAAGACUUGUACAUUUGUCUGGCUUUGAGAUCUACCCAGAAGAAAUGGGAAAGAUGAGCUGCAUAGUGCAAGGUCAGGUUCUAGACUCUCUGACACCAGUCUUGCAUGUGCAUGUGACAUGAAAGGUGAACCAGUGUUAACUUUUUCCUUUGGAAAUCAGAGCUAAGUGGCACAAAAAGAGAUAUUUAGGAUCCCAAAAUGAAAAAGGAGAAAAGGCUUUAGAAUAGCUAAGAAGUUAUUUUAAAUUUGAGAACUGUAACUUCUGAACACGUUAAAGUCUUGUAAAUGCAGAGGUUUUGUUACUUUUGUUUUGCUUUUUGCUGUUGUUUUUGUUUGUUUUGCUUUCUUUGUGAGAGUCCAUUGGAAAGAAAUGGAACUCUCUCAGGCUUGGAUAUUUGAAAAGCUUAAUCAGAGCUGGAAAAGAAGUGGAUAUUGAAGAGUUGCUUUCUUCCUCCCACUCUUCUGCUUUCCAAAUCAUGGAAAUACUCAGUUAAAAAUUCUAAUUCAUAUUCAAAAGAUAUUAAAAAGUGAAUCAGGGCAAGACUGAAUAUCUCCCCGUGCUGCUGGAAUAAAGGGCCAAGCCCUUCAAACUAUGAGUAAGACUAACAGAAUUAUUCACUUCAUCUUCUUGCCAAAAGACAACCUUGAAUUAUCUGCUGCCCAAAUUUUAUUAAAAGAUAAAAACAUCCAUGAAAGGCCGGAAUAACAUGCAUCUAUUCAAUCUCUAAACAUUUAGAACUAUUUUUUCUGGAUCAAGCCAGAUAAAUAAAGAGAAAAGCUCAGCUGUAAAGUACUAUUUUUGCCCUUAUAGCAUAGUUUCAUUAAACUUUACUUUGUCAUUAUGUUUUCAGCUUGGAUAUAAGAAUCUAUCAGAUACAAGCAUAUGUCGGCAGCAGGAAUGGUGCUGAGGAAAUGUCUCCUGGCAUCUUUCAGAAGUCCAUUUAUGAAAGGGUCUCCUAACUCAGACUGCUGAACAUGACGGUACUGAAUUACAAAUUUACGAAGAAAGAGAAUCCAGGAGAUACCAAGAAGCUAGAUGUUAACCUGCAGGAUUCUAAAUCUGAGGAACUGUGCUUGGAACAGUGAGGGAAGAGGUGUGCAAACAGCAGAAUGUGUCAGGCUUUUUCAUUUUACUUAUGGCAUAUGUCAAGGGCUUCCAAUCUAAACCUUCUUUUACCUUAUCAAGACACAGCAUCCAGAACCCUACCAGCAAAACUUCUAUCCCAGGAAUUAGACAGAAAGAUUUACCUUUGGAGGAAACUGAAUAGCCAAAAGAAAGACUUACAGAUAUUCACAUUUGGAGAUCUCCAGUGAAAAACAUGACCAGCCACCUUAUCACCCUCCAGUGAAGCCCACCAAUCAAUAAAACUCUGCUUAUGCACUCAGAACUUCUGAUUAGCUUUUUAAUGCCUUAUUCUUACAUGUGAAUGGACAACCAAGUAUUUCCAAAGGUAAAAGACAAAGACCCAAAAUAAAGACAUUUUUAAAAGGACCCUGGAGGAAGCAAAGAAAAAAAUAAGAGAGCAGAAAGGGAAGAACACACUAUAAUAUGCUUGGAGAGAAUAAGAUAUUGCACCCACAAGACAAAGAAGAAUGCUGCAAACCAA